rnacentral:rRNA from 1 species
GACGAACCGUGCGAACGUUGUUCGGAAUCACUGGGCUUAAAGGGCGCGUAGGCGGGCGGCAAAGUCAGGGGUGAAAUCCGGCAGCUCAACUGUCGAAGUGCCUUUGAUACUGAUGAGCUCGAGGGAGGUAGGGGUAUGCGGAACUUCCGGUGGAGCGGUGAAAUGCGUUGAUAUCGGAAGGAACACCGGUGGCGAAAGCGGCGCGCUGGAUCCCUACUGACGCUGAGGCACGAAAGCCAGGGGAGCAAACGGG